rnacentral:pre_miRNA from 1 species
AAUACGAGAUAUUGGUGCGGUUCAAUCAGAAAACUGUACUCUCUUUUUUUUUCCAGAGAUCGGCUUGUUUGAUUGAGCCGUGCCAAUAUCACGUGUU